UACGUACGGGGCAAGCGUUAUCCGGAUUUACUGGGUGUAAAGGGAGCGUAGGCGGCAGGGCAAGCCUGAUGUGAAAGCCCGGGGCUCAACCCCGGGACUGCAUUGGGAACUGCCCUGCUGGAGUGCCGGAGGGGCAGGCGGAAUUCCUAGUGUAGCGGUGAAAUGCGUAGAUAUUAGGAGGAACACCAGUGGCGAAGGCGGCCUGCUGGACGGUGACUGACGCUGAGGCUCGAAAGCGUGGGGAGCAAACAGG
rnacentral:rRNA from 1 species